rfam:Schistosoma rodhaini strain Burundi genome assembly, scaffold: SROB_scaffold0001392
GUCCAGCUGAUGAGUCCCAAAAUAAGACGAAACGCGAGUCAAACUGGAU